rnacentral:tRNA from 1 species
GCGUGGCAGAGUUGGUAGAGCAUGAGAUUCUUAACCUUAGGGUCGUGGGUUUGAGCCCCGUGUUGGACA